rfam:Aedes albopictus isolate Foshan contig120739, whole genome shotgun sequence.
GGCUCGGUAGCUUAGUUGGAAAAGCACUUGUCUGGCGUAUAAGGGUCGUGAGUUCAAAUUUCACCUGAGCUG